UUUUUUCCUCCUCACAUUAAACAGCGUUUUAAACAUUUAAAUUGGUUAGUUAAGUAACAGAAUGUAAUUUAAAGACACUCAUUCAUACCCAUUCACACACUCAUUCAUACACCGACUGCGGUGUGUGCCAUUAAAGGCGCCAUCCAGCUCAUCGGGAGCAGCUGGGGUUAGGUGUCUUGCUCAAGGACACCUCCACACUUAGUCAGGUGGAGCCAGGGAUCGAACCACCAACCUUCCGUUCAUUGAACAAUAAUAAAUGAAGUACCUGAAGCUGACAAUGAAGUAAAUGUAUAAUAAUUAGCAAAGAUGAUUAAUUUAGCGCUGUAAACGCGCGUAUGAGCGGCGGACACGCGCCGCAGAGCGUCAGACGCGCGUGAGGACCAAACACAGCAGAAUGUUCAUUGAACAAUAAUAAAUGAAGAACCUGAAGCUGACAAUGAAGUAAAUGUAUAAUAAUUAGCAAAGAUGAUUAAUUUAGUGCUGUAAACGGGCGUGUGAGCGGCGGACACGCGCCGCGGAGCGUCAGAGGCGCGUGAGGACCAAACACAGCAGAACGGUAGGAAACUUCACUCCUCUUAUUAUUUAUCUUUUACUAUAGCGAUUUAUUUUUAGAUAUGUGAUCUGAGUCUUUCAUAGAGUUGUAGAGUUAUUAGAGAAAUAGAGUUAUUUUUUACAUUUUUUGGUCGAAGUUUUCAGAUCGGGACUUCGGAGCCUGUUCGCGACUCGGUUGAUUUAGAUCGGCACUUCGGAGCAUGUUCGCGACUCGGUUGAUUCAGAUCGGCACUUCGGAGAAUGUUCGCGACUCGGUUGAUUCAGAUCGGCACUUCGGAGCCUGUUCGCGACUCGGUUGAUUCAGAUCGGCACUUCGGAGCAUGUUCGUGCCCUCGGUUGAUUUCAGAUCGGCACUUCGGAGCAUGUUCGCGACUCGGUUGAUUCAGAUCGGCACUUCGGAGCCUGUUCGCGACUCGGUUGAUUCAGAUCUGCACAAAAUAAAAUAAAAAUAAAAUAUCAAACGAUUGUUUACCUUUUUUCCCUAUAGGUUCCCUUCUAUUAGCGCUAAUUUAAUUAGUUUUGUUCACCUAGUUGUUUUAUCCUAUUUAGUUCAGAUCUAAUA